UAAACGACUCUCGGCAACGGAUAUCUCGGCUCACGCAUCGAUGAAGAACGUAGCAAAAUGCGAUACUUGGUGUGAAUUGCAGAAUCCCGUGAACCAUCGAGUUUUUGAACGCAAGUUGCGCCGAAGCCAUUCGGCCGAGGGCACGUCUGCCUGGGCGUCACGC
rnacentral:rRNA from 1 species